GUAGAAGGGAAAGAAUCUAAGACCCCUACAGAAGCAGUUGCUCAAGUGUUGUCUUCAUCAAAAUUUCUUUAUAAUAUUGGUCUUGUACCCGCCACAAAGAAAAGCUGCAAUGGUGGUGAUCCUACACGUGUGGCAGAACUUGAGGCUGAACUUGAAUCAGAGAAGCAAAACUCAUUAGAAGUUAGAGCUCAGUUAGAUGCCCUAAAGAAGAAGGUAGAAGAAUCAGAAGAAGCAAGGGCUAAGGAGUUAGAAAAGAUUAAUGAUCUGCAAAAAGGAGCAGAUGAGACCAAUGCUCUCCUUCGUCGUCUCUUUAGCCUCAAUAAGUAGUUGGUCGAUUGUGCCCUGAUUUUGCUGUCCUAUUUGUACUCUGCUUUGCACUCUACUUGAUGCUGGUGAU
rnacentral:misc_RNA from 1 species